ACUCUUCCUCCCACUCAGGUGCCUUCCAUCUCAUUGGAAAUUAUCCCCUCACAGUAAGUUACCUGAUGAGGAGGUGGGGAAUGAGUGGGCUAGACAGAAGAGGAAGAAAAGGGCUCAUGCUGAUAUUGCUGGAAUCUGGUUCAUCACUCAUACUCAACAGAGCACUGCUUGCUGAAUAUUGUAUGUGCAUGUGCAGAAUCACAGAAUUAUAGGGGUUGGAAGGGACCUCAAGAGAUCAUUGUGUCCAACCCCCCUGCCAAAGCAAGUACCCUAGAGCAGAUUGCCCAGAGAUAAUGAGAAGACGUCUUCUGAGAGAAGUCUCCUGCUUAACUCAAGCUAUGGAACAUUGAGCUACUGCUGUAAAAAUCAAAGAACCGAAGAAAUCAAAACAGUCAGAUUGUCCACAUGCUACCACCAUAACACCGAGACACAACCAGUACAGGUCAGCUGGGAUCAACCUGAAAUUACUGCCAAUAUAGGAUGCUCCUAUAGCCAAUGCCUCCUGCUUCCAGUACCAGACCGGUCAGGUUCAAUACACAGCCCAAGAUGAAUUUGAAAACACAGCCUUUUGCUGGUUUUUGGUAGUCAUCAAAAGUGUCUCUGUUUACAGGACAGAAUAUGAGAAUAAUCCAGCACCAGACAGUGUGGAUUGAAGAGGAUACCCGAACCAGUUUACUGUCAAGAAGGCUGUGUCAUCACAGACCUCCACUGAACCAACAGUUGCACCCUGAAACCAGAUGUACAUAUUGUAGUUAUAAAAUAUCAGCUCUCAGUUCAUUGCGGAUGUGGAAACGCAGUAGGCCUGGAAAAGAUUCUGAAGUAUCCAUGGUGAUGAUCUACCCACAGAAUAUUGAAAGAGGUCCUUGAACAAGGAAACCCUUUUAACUGGCAUCAUCUGUCCAAAAAUGUCCUGGAAGGAGCCUGUAUCUGAAGACAGUUCUUGGCUUCCAUUAGGAAUCAUAAGAUCUAUUGCAUUUACAGUGGACUGCCAUAACACAAAGGAAUAGUCUGUGACUAUUCUUUGAAAGGAGGAGAGCUGAUACCCACCGGUUUUACUGCACCGUGUCAAAGACAUCACCAAUUUAGCAGUGAUCCAUAGCCAAUGCACCGAAGACCUUCAGAAUAACUUCCUCUGCUACAGUCACAUGCAUCAGAUUUAAUUUGCAAAUAUCAAGGUAAGGAGCUAAGCAAAUAUGUAUUUCUAUUCCAGUUUAUUUUCUACCUUAAUAAUUUGUGCAGUUGAUAUUUCCUUAUAUAUAUAUAUUUGCUGUAUAACUUCAGGUUUCACUCCUAAAUCCUGCCCUGAAUGUCGGCCAUAGGCCUACUGAGAACUUCAAACCAUUUCUCUACAUACUAAACAUGUUCUUUUAGGACACAGGGAAAGACAAACUAUAAAGAGGAAAGACACACUAGGCAGCAGGUGGCUUGCAUUCUUGGUCAACUCUACCUUCAGCAGAGGUAAAAAACUGCACUUACCCCUAAUGCUAGAUUUAACCAGACAAUGUGUUCAUAAAACAUACCUUAGAUGUUUGGAUUUUUCUGUAUUUAUAUUGUUACAUUUGGCUAAUAUAUUAAGCUUUAUGUAGAGCUUAGGGAUAUGGUUCAGUGGUAGUCUUGGCAGUGCUAGGUUAAAGGUUGGACUAGAUGAUCUUAGAGGUCUUUUCCAACCUAAAUGAUUCUAUGAUUCCAUGUGAGUUAGCACUAAUCAAAAGGUAUUUUUUCCCUUUGUAAUAGUUUACAUUUAGAAAGUUGUGAGUUUGAUGGGAAAAAAAAACACUUUGGAAUUAUCGGUAGAAAGUGAAGUUGCAAAUAUCUUUACAAUUUAGUGUGCACAUUGUUAUUUUGGAAAUUGAUAAUUAUAUAUUAAUAUAAUAAAUUAUUAAUAUAUUAAACUAUUAGUUUAUUUAUAUUAAACCAGUUUAAUAUAAAAAUAAUCAUAUAUGUUAUUUGUCUCAAAUGAAGUAUGAACUUCAUGUGUAUCAUUUUAAACUCUUCAUUUAGUCAGUCUGUUUCAUUAAAAAUAUACAUCUGUGGGAUGGUAGAUAAUCAUUCUAAUUAUAACCAGGAGGCUCUCAGCUCUGAACUUCCAGACAGGCUCUUGUUACUGUGCAGAGCCCAGCUCCUGAAAAGAGAAUGGUAGCAGUGUAUAAGUAUAAAAAGUGAAAGAGGAAAAAACUUGAGCUUUUUUUCAUGGAUUAUUAUUUAUAGGAGUAGAGUAUGUGUAACUAGAACUCUUGCUUAGGCUUUUUCAUGAAACUGGAAAAAGGUAAAACAAAAUUUUUUUCUUUUUUUUUUUUUGUUUGUUCUGUGUCUAUACUGUUGUUUGCUUAUGUGUUAAAUGUAUUUUGUGUGUUACUGCUAUUGCAAUAUAAGUAAUUACCCUGCUGUUCCUGAAGUGCAUAACUUUCCAUAGUUAUUGCUGCUGGCAUAGUAUAAUAGCUCAAAUUGUAGCACUGUAUAAUCUGCAUUGUGGCCUUUAGCAGCCAGAUGCCUGCAGCCUGUGUCACUACAUCCACCUGCUUUCCCACCAUCCACCACUUGCUUAUUCUAGGUUCUAGAAUGGAUUUGAACAUGAAGUAUUCAAAGUGUUGCACUAAGCAAAACAUUUUGUAAUACAGAGUUUUGCAUUUUGAAUGUUGUAGCUGCAGUAUUAAGGAGAAGCACCAAUUGAUAGAGAUCACUAAGCCAUACCCUUAGCUGGAACAAAUAGAUACAGAAGAGUAUUAGUGAAUCUGUAGUAAUAUCUACUGGUGGAAAUUCAGUCCUCAUCAAAAGCGUUCUACAUAAUAACCUAGAAUUACAGGUUCCUGCUCAAAUGUCAGGAACGGGAACUGGGAGAUUGGACAUUAUUACCACAUUGUAAAAUAUUGGUAUCAUGCACAAAAUAGUAUUAAGACCCAGAAUUAAGAGCCUUGUGUGUAUAAAUACAGCUUGGCUUAAUUGGGCACUUUUUUUUACCUCAAGUUAUGGCUCUUGCUCAGGUUUCCUUUUAUAAAGGUGUUGAAAUGAGAUUUCAGAGCCAAGUUGUUUUAAAGCUGCAGGAAAACAAAAACAAUUCCUUCCUUUUCCUUAGCCCACUACCAUGCAUCCUUUUUGGACAACCAACUGCAGUAAGUGUUCUGUCUCACUUGAAGCAAAUAGAUGCACAGCUUUUUCUUUUUAGAUUAUUUUUUUUGUUUGCUUUUAUAUAUACUGCUUUUUCUCUUACCGAGAAAUAAACAGAGCGAGGUUAAACAAUUGAGUGAGUCCAAUACAGCCUUACCUACUUGAUUUUCCACAGUGUUUAGACUUUUUUUUUAGCAGUAAGUCACCAUUCAGCUCUAAAUAUGUUUACCGUUCUAUUCUUUCUUUGUCACUUAAAAACACCAGCCUAUAUAUCCCUAGUCCAUUAGGAUACUAAUUAUAAUAGUUGUUUUUACUACUGUUUUAGCACUUCGCUGUCACACUUUGCCCCCACACCCCCCCCCAAAAAAAAAGUGGAAAAAAAAUAACUUUUUUCCUACAACUGAGUAACCCUAUGUGUUGCUAUUUAGGAUAAUAACACAGAAAGCAGGCUGAAAAUGCCGAGCUGUUGCUGGUCUUGAACAUCUUAUGAAGGUAUGUAAGUACAUAUAUAUAAAAAUAUACAGGAGACAGCAGAAUAUAGCAGACAGAACCUUGGUAGCACAUCGGAGGCUUCCAAAUAUUUGAGAUCUUCCAUCAUUCGGUGUCCUAAGUACAAUGUUAAUCCAUCAGUUGGACAUAACCUAAGACCCAAAAUGGGCACUGGUUAAACCACUUAACUAAGCCAUCUUUCAGCUUUUCCAUGUGUACAACAAAAGGCUGAAUUUUAACCACUAUUUGUAAACAGUUUGGAGAGCUUUUCUUAAAACUAGCAAACAAGAACAACAAAACAAGCAAAAAAACAGAAAUGCAAAAAAACACAAAAAAAUUCUAAAUGCUGGUAUAUUUACUGGCACUUAAGAGUAUAUAAUCUGUAUAUGUUCUCUCUCUAUAGCACUUAAUUGCAAUUAGAGCAUAUAAUAUGUAUAUAAGCUGUUUCUGCAAGUUAUAAUUCUAUCAGAAUAAUUGAAGUAGCUAAAACUGGAACAAUGAAUAUUGUAUCACAGCUCAACAGAAAUGAAAUUUAAUUAUCAAGUCAGGUAAGAUUUCUAACCUUAUUUCAGUUGCGUUAUAUUACCUCCCACUUGAAAACAAGUUAAGGGUGAGGGGGUCAUUGUAACUCUUGCAGCAAAGGCCUUAAUUAAUCAACUAUAAAUUAACAAGUGUUCUUUUCUCAGUUUCUUUUUCUGCCAUCUUAGCUUUUAAUCUUCUAGUGUCACAAGGAAACUUUAAACAGUCAUCAUUAAGUGCCCAAUUGUAAAUAAAAUAUCUCUGAAAUGAGGAUGUUCAGGCUAAGGGUAAUGACAUUUAACUCCUUUUCCUGGCAAUAGGCUUGAUAAUAGCCAAGAACCAAAAUGCUUAUUAUCCCAUAUAAGACUUAAAAAUUCUAGGUGGGGAUUUCUUAUAUAACUUUUAACAGAAGUCUGCUGAAGGAGAGAUGUUUCCUGGCACUUGAGCUGUAAGCCAUACCUUCAGUUCACCUAGACACAAAGCUUAGGAGCAGCAUUGAGAAACAAACAAACAAAAAAAAGAUAGAAACAGUUUGUGUUACUCUAAAGUUAUUGCACAGAUUUUUUUUUUUUAAGAGCCAUGGUAGAAACUCAAUCAAGUAGGUAUAUAAAUAUGUACAUUUUCGAAGCAGUAUGUUUCACUUUAGGACCAGGUAAGUUGUCUGGCUCUAAAUUUAACAGAAUUUACUCAAGGAGAUGCUUAAAGAACACCUACCUUCCCAGUUUCUGAUGAGUGAGUUAACCAGGAUUACUGUAGAUUUCACUUGAGAAUAGAUGGCUAAAUUUCACAUCUUGUCACUGUAGGUAGAAGCAUACUUAACUUGGUUAACUUUUAUAAAACUCAGACCUGCAGCAGUGUGUACAGAGACAAUUGGCCCAAUGUCACUGCAGUUAUUUCGCUUCCUCACUAGAGCUUCUACGCCCACAGUUCAGAGGCUUGUGCCUAUGCCGAGGUAAUACUUCAGUAUAUUCAAAAACCACAAUGUUACAGAUUUAAAACAUGUAUGUGCUUAGUACUAUUGUGCAGAUACCAUCAAGCAUAUCUGAAGGAAAAGAAGCAAACAAAAAACUAACCACAACCAGGAAAUCUCACUUAUUCUUUCUGUGACUGUGCUUCUUGUCUUGCUCGAAUGAAACAGGUUCUGCACAGCUAAGUGAUUUGGAGCAGUUGUGGUUGGGGUCUGGUUGAGCGCCAAGUUGAGAGAAACUCAAUCUAGGAUGAUGGAAUGAAAAAGAUGCAUUUACUUUAGCCUCUGCUCUGCUGCCAGCUUAUGAUGGAACAGAACAGUUGGUUUCUUAACUAAUUAUCAAUAACUUAGUAAUGAAAGGCAGAUUCAAAAGACAAAUAAAUAGGAAUAAGAAGCAAUUUAGUUAAAAAAAAUAAAUGCAGUCGUUUUGUAGCCAUCUGUGCAAGCUUCCUCCAGAAUUGCAACACUUUUCUAUGCAUUAAAAACUUAAAUAUUAAAUAAACACUUAGAUACUAAAUAAUUAUUAAUAACUCUGUAAUGACUUUUUCUCCCUGGUUAAUAAUUAACACACAGUUAAGACAUUUGUGAAAUCGUAGGUUGGAUCAGCUUUGUUAUUGCCAAAUUACAAUACAAGAGAUCUGAAUAAAUGUAGUAAUUUUUUAUUGAUCACAAACAUAAUACUUUCAGCAAUUAAAAUGCAUGACUCAUAUGAACAAAGUGAAAAUAAAGCACAUCCAAAAAAUAACUUCACAUUUUUUUCCAUUUCAUUCUUAGUGUAAGCAAUAAAUACAAUGCUAUAGCUUCUAUUAAUCUUAUUUACACAGUACAAUACUUGAAUGUUGCCUGGUUUCCAGCCCAAAUGUUUCAUGACAUAAAAAAUAGUAUGUGUUGCAGCAUUUCUAUGGCCAAAUACUCUAGUAGAUCAUCACAAUGAGAAAAAAUACAAAGCAUAGUUGAUAACAUUAAAAAACAAAACAAAAAACUGAGGGGACUUUGCACUGGAACUUCAAUCUGUGCAUUUUACUAACUGAAGGCAGUAGCAUUAAAAAUAGACAUUCCCGUCAUACAAAACUAAGAUGCUAGAAUUACAGAUACCUGAUAUAAUAUAAGCAUUUCUGUAGCCCCCUUCAGACUGACACAAUAAAUCCUCACUAAAUAGCAACAACAAAAAAAGAGCAAAUAAUAAUAGAUGAAUGCAUGUUCAAUGGAAUCUCACAGCCCCUCCAAACUGGAGAUUACUUUCAUCCCAGAGAAUACAGAUAAUGACUACAAUAUUCUACAAUGCAGAAAAUAAGCCAUAAGAAAUAUCAGUAUAAGGAUUUGAUUUUAAUUUAUAGUGGUAAAAGACCGAAAAAAAGAAAAAAA